CGGCUCUCAAAGCAGGUGUGCUCUCUGGGUGCGAGAAGAAUAGAAGGAACAGAAUAGACGCACCUUCCGUUAUUUUCAGGGUGUAUCGACACAAUGAUGGACCUUAGACGCAUAGGCGGGUGUGUGCCGUUAUUUUUUCUGGCUAUUGGUUUUGAUGUUAUUGGUUUUAUUAUCCUGUUCAUUGGAAUUUUUGCCAAUUUGCGUAUCGAUGGCAGGUUUUAUGGCGAUUUCUUGAUUUACAGUGGUUCAAUUAUAAUUUUCAUAAGUUUGGCUUGGUGGAUUAUGUGGUACGUGGGAAAUAUACAGGUCUCAGAAGACAGCUUUGGAGCAAGCUUAAUGAAAAAUAAACGGAGUUUUGUACAGUUGGCCAGAAAGUUGUCAGAGAGGCUUUCCAAAAAAUCCAAACAUGAACAUGUAACCACAAAGUAUGCAGAGGAAAACAAGGUUAAAGCUGUGACGCCUUCACCUGUUCACGUCGCCUCUCGAAUAACCUGGGGGAAAUCUUUCUGUUAUCAGAAUGGCGGCUAUGACUCCAGCUUGGACUCCUUUCAGAUGGAGAAGGAAAAACAGACACCAGAUAUACAGAACUUGGAUGUGCAGACCCUCUCUAGGGGUAAUGUUGAAAGGCUGUUCUGAUUGUUCUCCGUAGCACUUUCUGAUCCCAAGACUACCUUCAACACUGUACGCUUCACGGAAUGGGACUACAGACAAUUCAGGACAUUAAUCAGUACUGGUCUGGACGUUAGUUCUUGACAACAAAGACUCAUCAUUAUGGGGUGAAAUGACCCAUAGUCCUAGGGAUAUAGGCCUACUGUAGAUAUUGCUCUAAAUGCAUGUUAUAUUGUUUUCGUUUUUUAUUUAUAUAUCAAUUAUUAAUAUAAUCUCCAUGUGAUGUUAUGUGAACUUUUUAUGUUAUAGGAUCAAUAUUAUGUGGAAAGGCUAUAUUUUGUCAUAUAAACAUAUCGACAUGUUAAGGUUCAUCGUAGCCAUUUUCUAGAAUAGUCUCAGAUGGAAAUCCUAGAGGCCAUUGUCUGAACGGCAGGUAAUUGAACCCAGACUCUCCCCAAGCCAGACCCAGAAAUGCAAUCACCUGCAUCUACAAUUGUUUUACAUAAAAACGGUAGUCAGGCAGGUUUGCCUGUGCCACAACAAUUGCAUUGCCAAAGCAGGCUGUAAACCCUCAACAAAACGUUGUGUGGCCUGGGGCACUGAGCUUGUUUUCACCUGCAUGUUGACAUUACAUGGACAUUUGGGCUAUACUCUUUUAACUGUUCAUUGAGUAGGCUGAUUUUGUUUUUAAUCAUGUGCGCAAACUUCUAAAAUGUAUAUUCUACCAGACUGCAUUUUUUUUAUGUUGUGAUUUAUUUUAUAUUUUAUUUCUUAAUAUUCUUUAGAUUUCAGUUGCCUUACCAACAUAUAGCUUUUGUCUAACAUGACUGAUAAUGAGCGUGUGCAUAUCAAGUCAUUGUACUCAGGGCGUUGCCUGUCUGUAUGCUAAUUAUUACCUAAUCCUGGCCUGUUGACUCUGCUUUGCGGUCCUUGGUUGAAUAGGUGUUGCACAGAGGUAAACCAAACUCCCGCGACUGUCUGACUGGUCAAACCAGGUACUUAAAGGGUGAGGUUUUUCACUGCAGUUCCCCUUUCUGUCAUGAUGUAGGAAGCAUGAAAUAGUAAAUAAUUGUGGAAUGCGUCCAGUAGGCCUUCUGCAGGCUAAAUAUAAACUGCUGAUAGUCACUGAAAUAUAUCUUCCCAACAUACAGUAUCUUUUCCCACACUGUUCAUAAUGUUAGAUGUUAUGCUGAUGUCAUAAUAUUCAUAUGAAAUGCAUUAUUAUUUUAUACACAGAGGCAUGGUGCAUUAGAUUUUUAUUUAUUUUAAAUAUACAUCCAAUGAUCUUGAUAAGCAUACACAAUAAAAAUAGUUAUCUAAUGAGAUGAUCCAUUUCAAGCACUGUAAUUACAUUGCUGCAAGUCAGGGAUUGCUAAGGAAUGAGGUUGGACCAUUUGGCCUUUAAGUUUUAAUGGAUCAUUCAGAGUAGUACAACCUGUUGUGGUUGGAUACCAGUUCUGCUGCUGUUUCCUACAAUGGAAGAAUUUGAAGGCGUGCUGAAAAUCAGAAGAAUGCGACUUGCGUUUUAAAAAGGUUGUGGCUGGAAAGGCCUCUCCUCAUUCUUGUAAAGUCCUCAGCCGGCAGGAACCCAGACUGCGUCCAUGUUCCUGCUAUGGAUACCUCUUCUAUGGGUCGCUGUGUUUUCUUUCUCAUCCUGGCUUUGAUCUUUGAUGUUGUCGGUCUGAUCCUAUUUUUCCUGGGGAUCUUUGCUCCUCUGAGUUUCUGGGACUUCUUUGUGCUAUCGGGGCCCCUGCUCAUCUUCCUCAGCCUGGUCUUCUGGAUAUUCUGGUACCUGGGGAGUCUCACAGUGCCUUACGAAGAGCUCAUCUUGCCAAAGUGACACCCAAACAUGGUCAAAGGUGACCCACCUGACCAAUGGCUGGUCCCCUGGACUGACAGCUUGACCCUCACAACUUUAAGGAGUUGACAGAAUUCUGGAUUCUGGGUGUUUGACCAUGUUUCUCAUUGGACUGUGAACCGGAGGACCUGGUUUUCUUUAAAGAAGGAACCUGUUGGACCCUGGAACAACUCCAGUUGGAAGUGAAGAAUGGCAUAUGCACCCUAUUCUACCCCUAUGAUGAAGAAUGACAAGAUGUCAUGUACAGACAGCCAGGAUUUCAUCUGUGCUGGGUUGAAGUGGGACAUGAACUCUAAAGCACUUGUGUCCAUCCUUAAAGACUGCAUCAGCACAUAUAACUCAUUUUAUAGUAUGUGUAAAAGAAUAAAUAUUUGUUCAAAUAAAUGUUUAUUUUUUUAAUGUUUUAUCCUCAAAAAUAAUAUCAGAACGAGAGGCUUCAAAAUGUGACAGACUCAACAUUUUGAAUGACUCAUUGAUUCAUGAAGUGCUUUGAGAGACUAGUCAAGGAUCAUAUCACCUCCACCUUACUGGCCACCCUAGACCCACUUCAGUUUGCAUACCGCCCCAACAUGUCCACAGACGACGCAAUCAUCAUAACACUGCACAAUGCCCUAUCACAUCUGGACAAAAGGAAUACCUAUGUAAGAAUACUGUUCAUUGACUACAGCUCAGCAUUCAACACCAUAGUACCCUCCAAGCUCAUCAUCAAGCUGGAGGCCCUGGGUCUCAACCCCGC